GACGUAGGGCGCAAGCGUUGUCCGGAUUUAUUGGGCGUAAAGAGCUCGUAGGCGGCUUGCCACGUCUGCCGUGAAAACCAGCAGCUUAACUGUUGGCUUGCGGUUGAUACGGGUUGGCUGGAGUUCGGUAGGGGAGACUGGAAUUCCUGGUGUAGCGGUGAAAUGCGCAGAUAUCAGGAGGAACACCAAUGGCGAAGGCAGCUCGCUGGGACGUGACUGACGCUGAGACGCGAAAGCGUGGGGAGCAAACAGG
rnacentral:rRNA from 1 species